rnacentral:rRNA from 1 species
UUCCGGUUGAUCCUGCCGGAGGCCAUUGCUAUCGGAGUCCGAUUUAGCCAUGCUAGUUGCACGAGUUUAGACUCGUAGCAUAUAGCUCAGUAACACGUGGCCAAACUACCCUACAGACCGCGAUAACCUCGGGAAACUGAGGCCAAUAGCGGAUACCACUCUCAUGCUGGAGCGCCGAGAGUGAGAAACGUUCCGGCGCUGUAGGAUGUGGCUGCGGCCGAUUAGGUAGAUGGUGGGGUAACGGCCCACCAUGCCGAUAAUCGGUACGGGUUGUGAGAGCAAGAACCCGGAGACGGUAUCUGAGACAAGAUACCGGGCCCUACGGGGCGCAGCAGGCGCGAAACCUUUACACUGCACGACAGUGCGAUAGGGGGACUCCGAGUGCGAGGGCAUAUAGCCCUCGCUUUUCUGUACCGUAAGGUGGUUCAGGAACAAGGGCUGGGCAAGACCGGUGCCAGCCGCCGCGGUAAUACCGGCAGUCCGAGUGAUGGCCGAUAUUAUUGGGCCUAAAGCGUCCGUAGCCGGCCGGACAAGUCCGUUGGGAAAUCGACGCGCUCAACGCGUCGGCGUCCAGCGGAAACUGUCCGGCUUGGGGCCGGAAGACCUGAGGGGUACGUCCGGGGUAGGAGUGAAAUCCUGUAAUCCUGGACGGACCACCAAUGGGGAAACCACCUCAGGAAGACGGACCCGACGGUGAGGGACGAAAGCUAGGGUCUCGAACCGG